UGGCGAUCAUCGUUCAAAUAUCAAUGCUUUGUUGGUUGUUGCUCUCGGUGUCCUGCAUCCCGGGAAGCGAUGCGGCUGAACGAUCUGCGUGGGGCUCUUUUAUUCCAGCAAGCCGUGGACUUGCUAAAGUGAGAUUGCCACGGGCAACAAAGGACAAAUCAGGCGUGGUCCUGCGCUUUGGAGGUUAAGCAGGCCAGCCUUCCCGAAAACGAACAGUCCAGAGGCAGCAGCGCCCUGUGAAGUGCAAUAUUUGUAAGGUAUUGUGCGACAGCUUUCAACGAACGUGCAACAAUAAAGGUGUCACUGCAUUUACUGCAAACGCUAC